UUAGCCCUAAACCCAAAUAAUUUAUCAAACAAAAUUAUUCGCCAGAGUACUACUAGCAAUAGCCUGAAACUCAAAGGACUUGGCGGUGCUUCAUAUCCCUCUAGAGGAGCCUGUCCUAUAAACGAUAAACCCCGAUAAACCUUACCAGCUCUAGCUAAUACAGCCUAUAUACCGCCAUCCUCAGCAAACCCUGAUAAAGGAAUUGUAGUAAGCAAGAUUGUUAAAAUACAAAAACGUUAGGUCAAGGUGUAGCUUAUGAGCCGGAAAGAGAUGGGCUACAUUUUCUAAAACAGAAAAGACGAAUAUUCUUAUGAUAUUAAAGAAUUAAAGGAGGAUUUAGUAGUAAGCUGAGAAUAGAGAGCUCAACUGAAUUAGGCCCUGAAGCACGC
rnacentral:rRNA from 1 species